GGAGGUGUGGCUCAAGUGGUAGAGUGCCUGCCUAACAAGCAUGAAGCCCUGGGUUCAAACCCCAGUACCACCA